UCCUUGAUCUCUAGUUAGUGGUGACGGCAGGAUGGGUGGGCUGUGGCAGGCUACGAGUGGCAACAUGCUCCGAGCUUGGCAGCUGCUGUGACUACCAGGGAUCACCAGGCUCCCCAAACAAGGAGAUGUGAUACAGUGCAGGUGCCUGAGGUGGGAUCCCAAGAAGCUACAUAAACCAUAGCAGAGCAGAUCUCCUACAUUCAGAUGGGAGGCAGACACAGGAGAAUUCCUGGAAACUCCAGAGUCAGCUAGCCUGGAAUACACAGCAGAGAAAACCAGAGACAGCCUUGGUGCAAGGUGAAGACCAACUCCAAGUUGCAACCCUGCACUGAUCUCAAAGUUGAUGUGAAGAAGGAUCAGAGUCUUGAUGGGGAGAUCAGAAGUGCUGAUAGCACCCAGCAGGACGGUCCUCAGUUCCCACCAUCAUCUUAAUCAGUCCCCUGCUUUGUGCAAGCUGCCUGCUGUCCACUGGGACCUGACAGAAUCAACUCUCAUCGUAUCAGCAGCCGGGAGGGUCCUUCCACCUCAUCGUCCAUUGUCCUUCUUGAGUCUAGAGGGGGUCAGGUUGUGAGAGGAAUUAAAUCACAUGGCUCCUAAUCUCUGCUGUGUUUGUAGCUCCUUCAAAUGGGGAUAGCCACACCCCCAGCUCCUGAUGAAGAAGCGGCCUGGGUAUCUAUUUCUUUUCCCACGUGCCUCUAUGACCCUGCUUCUGUCCCAAACUGCAACAUGGGCCCGCUUAUAAGAAGCCGACAGGCUGACAACCACACACACCGGCCCCCACUGAAGACGAAGUGGGCCUAUAACACCUUCCUGCAAGAACACACCUCAGAAAGGGAGAAGAGAAUAAAGUCUUUAGCAGUUGAGACGGAAGUGGAUGGUAACCUUAGGCGCGUCCGACGGAACCGAGUCGAUGCGUUAGAAAAUGGGAGUCUGGAUCGGCAGAAGCUACGAGGCAGAAGAUGAGAACAGCUUGGGAUGACUGGAAGCCACGGAGUGACUUAAAAUAGAGAACCCCUGCGAAUGGAGCACCCAAAUGUGUUCUUGGAACAGGUAGGGUGACCCUCUUUACUGAUUACACCACGACCAUUCUGGCUACUUAUCUGCCUGAAUAUCCAGGAAGACACUGAUGGACGUGGUGGUUGGCCCUGGGUGUGGUCCCUGAGAACCCCACAUUCUUCUUGCUCCCGAAGCCGUGAGUCCUGUCUGAACCUGGCCCCAUUCCUGAAUUCCUGGGAAGUUGCCAAGCAGGGUCCUUAGGAGUCAGACUGUCUGGAUUUCCCUUCCUGGGUUUCCUGCUAUUUAGCUCUGUGGCCUCUGGGCAAACUCCUAACCCUGAAGCCUCUGUUUGCUCAUCUAUAAAAUGGGGAUGAUAAUUGCUUCAUCCUCACAGACUCACUGUGGGAAUUAAAUGAGUUGAUACACAGCAGUAGCCGACAUGUUGUACUUCCUAAAAUUAAUACAAGCGGUGUUCAUAACUUGGUUUUUCAGAAGCAAUGGGGGAGGGGAUGAACACAGAGACAUUAGCACCAGUGUCUGGCCAUCCAAUAUCAACCAUUAGCUUUUCACCAGGGGCAUGACUUUGGAGUCAACCUCAUUUUCAGGUUUUUUUUUUUUUCCGUCUGUAAAAUGGAAGUAGCAGAGCCCAUCUUUCAAAGUCACCUGAGUAAAAAGUCGUCUGGAAAGAUGGUAUAAGUCAGGUGUUUGUGGAGGAGACCAGGAGAGGCCUUGCUUUGGAUUCGCUAUUCUUUCUUUUUAACACCCUGUAGCCAGGUGGUGAUAACUCAGCUAAAGUUCAAAGACACCCACAGCAGCAGCAGUAAGAAGCCUUUGGGCUCCCUUUCUCAGGCGAAACCUCGGACCACUCAGGCCAAUAUUCUCCAGUGCUCCCUGAAGAGAUUCAUCAGAGUGUCUGGGCCGGCUCUGGGAAGAGGGAGGAAAAGCUUUUGACUGUGGGGAAGCCAUGGGAAGGAAGUCAACAGGAGCUAGCAGAAGCAGCAAGGGAAGGAGGCUUGCACCACACCAGAAACCAGCCUGACAAACCACAGCAGUCUUCCAGAGAGGUCCAUGGAUGACUGCCAGAAAACCCAGAAGGAAUGGGAAAGUCUCAGAGGCUCGCCUGAGUUCAGAGUAUAGCUGCAUCUCUAUACCAGACGCUGCUCAGUGGAACAUGACCGCCCUCCUUCCUUCUUUCCUUCCUUCCUAAGUUUUUUCUUGGUGUGAGUGUGUUGGGGGUGUGGUGUGAGCAUACGUGUAUGCAUGCACAUGCAUUGGUAUACAUGUUAUUGUGUGCAGUGUAUGUGGAGGCCAGAGGACAACCUCAAAUAUCAUCCCACCCACUCUACUUAUUUUUAAGUAAAGUCUCUCACUAUCCUGGGACCGACCAAAUACGUGAGGUUGGCAAAACCCUAGGGAUCUUCCUGUGUCUACCUUCUUAGUGCUGAGAUUGCAAUCAUGUGGUUCCUAGGGCUCAAACUCCAGUCUCCCUGCUUGCAACUGAGGCUGUUUCCCCAGCCCUCUUUUGUUCUUUGACUAUAUCGCAGGAAACACGUGAACUCCCACACCAUAAUUCACUUGUAAAGAGAUGACCAGCAAUGUGAUGUAUGUGUAUAAAGUCAGACACAGGGUGCCACAUUUGCCAUGGCAACCUCACUCCAAAACCUCAGAGAACCUUCGGGCCUGGUCUGUGUGUACAUCUAUUUACCAGCUUUGGAUCCGAGACCCACUGCUAUGUCAGCCCUCAAACGACUACAAACAGCAAUUUCAAACAGAAACAGCCUAGGUCUAGCAAAACAGGCCUCCCGAUUUAGCUCCGUGCCUCUCACCAGAGGCUGCACAUGGGUACCACACACACAUCUGUGUCCCCAUAUCACAGCUGCAUCAACAGAAAAGCACAGUUGAGGGACAGCCCUGGAUCCCCCAGCGAGCCCUG